rnacentral:rRNA from 1 species
GAGUUUGAUUAUGGCUCAGGACGAACGCUGGCGGCGUGCCUAAUACAUGCAAGUCGAGCGGAGUUGAAUAAGUGCUUGCACUAAUUCAACUUAGCGGCGAACGGGUGAGUAACACGUAAAGAACCUGCCUCAUAGACUGGGACAACUACUGGAAACGGUAGCUAAUACCGGAUAACAUAUUUUUCUGCAUGGAAGAAUAUUGAAAGUCGGUCAUGCUGACACUAUGAGAUGGCUUUGCGGUGCAUUAGCUAGUUGGUAGGGUAAAGGCCUACCAAGGCGACGAUGCAUAGCCGACCUGAGAGGGUGAUCGGCCACACUGGGACUGAGACACGGCCCAGACUCCUACGGGAGGCAGCAGUAGGGAAUCUUCCGCAAUGGACGAAAGUCUGACGGAGCAACGCCGCGUGAGUGAAGAAGGAUUUCGGUUCGUAAAACUCUGUUGUUAGGGAAGAAUGAUUGUAUAGUAACUAUAUACA